GACGAACGCUGGCGGCGUGCUUAACACAUGCAAGUCGAACGGAAAGGCCCUGCUUUUGUGGGGUGCUCGAGUGGCGAACGGGUGAGUAACACGUGAGUAACCUGCCCUUGACUUUGGGAUAACUGCAGGAAACUGGGGCUAAUACCGGAUAGGAGCUCCUGCUGCAUGGUGGGGGUUGGAAAGUUUCGGCGGUUGGGGAUGGACUCGCGGCUUAUCAGCUUGUUGGUGGGGUAGUGGCUUACCAAGGCCUUGACGGGUAGCCGGGCUGAGAGGGUGACCGGCCAUAUUGGGACUGAGAUACGGCCCAGCCUCCUACGGGCGGCAGCAGUGAGGAAUGCUGAACGAUGGGAGGCAGCAUGAUGCAGCAACGCCGCGUGCGGGAUGACGGCCUUCGGGUUGUCACCCGUCUUCGCCUGCGACGAAGCGUGAGUGACGGUAAUGGGUAAAGAAGCACCGGCUAACUACGUG
rnacentral:rRNA from 1 species